UCCUAUGACUGACAAGUCGUUAGCUUAAUUAGCCGAAUUAGCUAAGGCUUUUGGGCAUGCGAAAAAAUGGCGUGUGUCACUUUUGUGCGGUAUUAAAACAAUGCGCGGACUAUGUUGUAGGGAAAAAAAGACUUGUUCUUUGGCGAUAAUUUUUCGCAUGGAAAAUUCAAAAUAACUUUUUUGCAAUGAAGGACGAUAAGGGAUAUUUUCCGGCUGAACUGGGUUUACCUCUAAUACAGGACAUGGCAACAGGUAACAAUGACGCACCAAGAUACGCUGCAGUGCACCAGUAAAGAUGAGGAAGAAGACGACUGUUGGCAAUGCUGUAGGAGAGGAAAGCAGAUGUUGAAAGUGGAUGUCCUUGAGAAAAGACGAAGAGAGGAGUGGACGAGUCAAUGACGACAGUGCUCAUUAUCCAAAAGUGUAACAUAAGGGAAACAGUGCGAUCAAUUUAUCAAGUAUCUGUCAAACAAGCAGAGCACAGAUUUGCAGAACUGUGACAUCUUGGGCUACUCUGCCUGCAGUAACCUGCUGCCCAUCAUAGUUUUACACAUGCAUGCAGAAUUAGGCUAAAGUGCUGACAGUGAACUUGUGACUCACGUUAUCCUUAAAGCUGAAGAAAUUAUUAACAAAUUGGUAAUUCAACAUUAAUUAUAUGGAAGUGGUUUGAAUAUCUCAAAAGCGUUGAAGCCCAGAUUAAGAUGGUCUACAGAAUAUUCCCUUCAGCUGUGCCAACCAACGCGGGAAACACAGCAAAUCUCUUCCAUCACUUGAAAAGUCAACAUACCAGCAACCAAGUGAGCCAAGGCAAGCAGACUGUGGCCGAUAAAGGCAGAUAAGGCAACUUUGUCAAUUUGUACUUUAAGAUUUACAUUAUUUUAUGUUCAACUGCACUCAAAACUCUAAUGAGUCUGUUGGUUUCUUUUGUCCUGAGUCGUCGUCAGAAUACUCUUCAAACUGGUAGAACUAUUAAAUUGUAUAUUGUGAUUAAUAUUGAUAUUAUAUGCAAAAACACCAUAUUGUGAUAAUAUUUUUUUUUUGCCAUUUUGCCCGUCCCUAACUGAAUGUGUGUGGUACACAGUUCUUACAGUGUUAUUGUCUGGAAAUAAUGUCUAAUACAGUAUUAUAAAACAUGUCUUUGAAUCAGAAUCUGCCCCUAACAGAAUAGACAUUAUUUUUGCCAGCUGUAAUUAGGUUUGAUAGGUUUUUGGAACAGAGAAAUUGAAUAACUAACCGUUGCCCGUGUCAUUGUAAUACAAAUACCAACUAAUUUCAGAUGAUCAUCUGCCUCUGUCCAUGUAUUCUCGCUCAACUUUUCAAAGAACAAAAAGUGGUGACUGCUAACAGUCUAACACUCCCACACAGUGUCAUUAUGUGUUCCCAUAGAUGUCUCUCUUAAAUGUACUUUUGGCUAAAAAUAUAGUGACAGAAGUACAAAAAAAUAUUCCCAAGAAAAUCAUUGUUCUAAGAGCGAAUCAGGACACAUAAU